UUAAUAUUAAUAUUGUUAUAUAUAUAAUAACAUAUAGUACAUAUAUAUAUUAACUAUACUAUCACAAAUAUUAACAGAUGGCAUGUCUUUGUUAUCCAAUUGAAUAAAUUUUCCACAGUCGAAUUCAUGCGCAAUUGCAAAACAUGAAUUAACGAGCGAACUUAACCAGAAGAGAAAUAUGGUAAAGAAACAUCUAUUUGCGUGAACUCUAAAUUGUCCCCCUAUUUAUUUUUCCUUGAGCAAAAAAAAUAUAACUGUUGACAUGUCCAAAUUGUUCUUUGAUGUCUAUUCAUGCGUUAAGAACCGAGAAACCGAGAACAUGAAACCGAGCAAGUAGAAAAUAUGUAGCCUUAAGGGUACAUAGUGGAACUCGUUAGCCAGCCACGGUCAUAAGUCUUUAUGAUGUUUCGAAAUGUGGAUGUCCAUUUUACUGGUGUACUCACAACAUCGGUCUUUUAGCGAAACAUUUAAAUGUAAGCAAAUUGGGAAAGAACAGCCUGGUAAUAAACUAUACGACGUGUUAAUCACAGAGGCGCCCGGCUUAGCUGAACGAAUACAUACAGCUGCGAUGUAUGCGGCCUUACCGUGUACAGACGUAAGAGGGAGAACAUAAUCGAGAUUGCAACGUAUCGGGUUAUCACGUUUUAACGUAUCAAUAUUAUUCUUGACGAUCGAACUACGUGUGAUAUUUGUGGCUGAUCUGGAAGAGUCAUAAGGAUCGGCCACUUGUGGGUCACAUUUUACUACUAUCGAAUUCGAAAUUUCUAACACGAAGUCCGAUGAGACUUAGAACAUGGAGCGACUUGAUGUUGCCCGUUCGUAUUUCCUCUAACACAGGAAACUGACAUUAAACCAACACCUUAGGAGGGAAAGAAAGCUCGCGGCCCGAGGAAAGCGUACGUUAACCGAGUGGCAAAUGCGUUUGGCAUUCGGAAAUUCGAUGACCGAUUGUUAUGGGGUAUUUCUUGAUACAAACUGUUUUGUCGGGGAGUUAUCGAGUGGCUCGCUUAAUUCCAUUUAUAACACUGGUGUGAUUCGGUGCGAUGAUACCGAAACGGUUCGAAAAUAUUUUUGCAAGAACGCAAUAAGAAACGGUUAGAGGAUCCGAAGUAAGUGGUAGAGUGCUAGCCGUAGGUAGCCUCGGAUCGGGAAAUUGUACUCUAGUAAGAGCAUUUCUUAAGAACGAACUCCUCGGUUUUCUCGAAACGUUCCGAUAAAGUCAUCCUGUGAAGGAGAUAGAGAGUUCACAGAGUGAUAUUUCUAGAGCUAGAGUCACGUUUCCGAUGAGAUCCGAUACGGUGGUGGAGCUGGUAAAGCUGCCCGGGUUUGAUGACGAACGGCUUGUUGUGUUUCUCGGAUAAUCAACGCGAAGAUUGCCGACAGAAGGCCAAAUGGAAUCGUGCAACAGGAUGGCUAAUCGAAGUACGCGAGGCAGCAUCCCCCAUUUCCCUGCCGCGUUAUGUCCGGUUGCAUGACCUUUGGGCCCAUGCUUAAAAUCUUUCUGGAUCGAUUAUCUCGAAAAUUGCAAGGCGACUGCCGCCAAAAUUAGGUACUGUUGGAAUCAGCUUUUCCAGCGCUAUCAGCGUACCAAGGCUCGUCAAAGAAUAGUAAAGACCAAUCCUCCCCCUUAUUAGGAGGUAGACUCACAGAACGAUGACUCGAAUAAAACCACUUCCUACGUCCAGGAUAUACGACCAAUCUUAUACAACGUUCAGUAUACUGCAACUGGUCCCCUAAAACGUUUCAGCGAAGAUUGUUUUCAUAAUUGUUAUCUUUUUCCCAUUUAUUACGUAUUAACUCGUGUCCCGGACAAAUGCGUUCUUCGGUGACGUGCUAACGGCAUUCGUUCUUUGGCGAUGUACUAACUAUUGUUGCAUAAUUAUUUUUUGCAGUGGACAAUCGAGUGUCAGGCUCUUAUGUACUCGAUAAUCCUCCCCGAGUCUUUUUACCGAGGAAUUCGUGUAACCGUUCGUCAAAGUAAUUGCAAACCAACGCUACGAACUUCGGAACAUCUUUUCUCAAGUAUUUCUUGUUUCGUUCACAAAUAUAUGGACCUGCUCUUUGAGUCAUGCUUCUUAAAUGCCGUGAGGCAUGUGCUGAGUAAUACAAGGGCGUACAAUUAUAAUAUUACUGGAAAACUCAAAAGCAUCGCGACGAUAAGUUUGGUCGUACCACGCAGGCUAAUAAUCAAUAAUCAACCAGUUCCUCGAGAGAAUAUUACGCGAAUGUUGCCCGCGACGUUGUCGUCUCUCGCGAUGACUGUGCAAUCAUUGGGCAAUUGAAUGUAAUAAGAUUAAAACGAAAUCAGAUGGAUAAUAAUAUUGUAGUGUUAAUAGCAUCAUACAGAUGUGACGAAAAUAGAUUAUCGCCAGUUUUGUGGUGUAUGCGUCGAAUCAAAAAUGACUUAAAUUGCUCCCAGCAUUAUUAAUACGGAUCCUACGGGAGAAAAUUUAGAUUUGAUAAAUACCAAUAUGCUCAUGAUUUCGACAUAUUCUGGACGUUCGUUUAUGUUAAAUCAUACUGAAGCUCUCCAAGAAAGAUCUAAUGUCCAAAUACUCAACAUUGGUUCGUCUAUCCGCACAAACUCCGUCAUGCAUAUCUCUGCGCCUAAGCGUCUCUUGCCUAUCCGCACACAAACCGUCCUACUAAUCUGCACAUAAAUCCAAACUGUGCCAGGUAACCGUACAAUUAAAAUACGCGCAGCAGCAAAUAAAGAUGGAAGUAGAGACUGCAUAAUAAAUGACAACUUCUGACCCCGCGUGAUUUGUGAUCAUUAUAUUAUCCGGUUUUUAAGAGUCGGAGAUAAUGAGGGUAAAUGUUAGAUGAGCAACGGAUAGCAACACCUUAGAAUACACCGCGAGUCUCAUUAAGUAGGGUGAUCCACGACUUUCCUAAACCGCUUGUUGACCAAAAACGCAGAAUGUGUCCAAAAACCAGCAGACCUAUAAGUCUCCACGUGCUCGAAAACCAUGCACGCAGAAAUAGAUCGUAAAUGACCCGCGCUUCGGUUGGAUGUCCUACCUACGAAAACACGAGGUAACGAUCCCUUAGCGAUAUCGCGACACUCCAGGAGAUCAAAUGAUUGUGCAAUUGAACAGAAUGCCGUCGCGAUCUCAACCAAACAUCUCGAAGUAAAGAGAAAACUCUAUCGAUGAGAGAAAUCUCAGUAUCUCGUAUUGUUUCGGGUAACAUAGACGCACUUCUGCCACCGUCUAUGUUAGAACUUACGAAUCGAAAUUCAAUAGGAAGAUAUGAAACCUUGAAAAGCCCUUUCACAAGAUCAGAAAUCGCGACUCGUUUUUUAUAUGUGCUAAGUGAUAGGCUCACGUAGGUCGAGUCGCGGAAUCGGCUUUUCGAACUGGUCCGUUUUUCUCUUCGAGUCGAUGGACAACGCGACUGAGCUUUCAUUGUUCUGAAGGAACAGAAAUAUUUAACUGGGCUAGACGAAGCGCACAAUGCUGACGGACAGACGAAGACAAGACAGUGUAAGAUGUGCAGAUAGUCGAGGUCGUUCGAUGACAUCCGUCGCACAUUGCAUACCGGCAUACGUUCAUCACUUACGCAGUGCCCCGAAACACGUUAAAACGCAAUUAUACGUGCGAGCUCAUUUGUAAGAAGCAUACUUUGAGCACAACAGUCGAGCUAAAAGAAAAUCGUAAAUCGAACAAUCUUUUAUCACUUACGUCCACCGAUUUAUUUUGGGACAUUAUUACGUACCACUGAGUUUAACGUGGUCUUAUACUCAGUUAUAUACCUGCCAUACAACGAUGAAAUAUAUCGUUAUGUACACUUGACUAUAUUCUAUUAUUUUUGGUAUAGCUUGGGAUACAUUUUAAUUUUAUAUCUUGACUCUAACCUCGAUGCUGCUGUUUCAACAUAUGGUCUUGACGUUUUAUCUGUGGCGUAUGUUCCGCGUUUCUUAUGUUACCGUUGAGUAUUCCGAAACGAGCUGAACAUGAUCAGACACACACUCAUCGGCUGAUCGAAAACGCAGUCGAGCCGUUAUACGAGCUUAAUGCAACCGGACUCAUAACUAUCUCCACAAAUUAUUUAGAUUUUUCUUUUGAACCUCCAUAAUCUAUAUCUCGCUACAUAACCCGGUUGUAUCACCGUGUAUAUACCUCGUUACAUACCUGCUUGUAUACUUGUAUGUUUAUAAGGCAAUAACGGCCUCAACUUCUUAUCUUUUCACAUGUUUUCGGUUUGUAUACAUGGAUGAGUGGAAAGCUCUGCAGAAUAUUUUUAAUAACUCCACCUUCCGCUUAACAUUGUUUAACGUUCAGCGUUUCGGAAUCGGUAAUUCAGCAGCAGGUACACGAGUCAUCUGACUAAGGAUACAGCAGCAUUGCGAGGACUUAAACUUGGCAUGUGUAUCUCCUGCGACCAAAAAGACCAAGACGAUGGCAAUGACCUUGGAAUAUAAUCACGUUGCAUGAACAUAAUCUGUAUAUAUAUAUUGGUGUACCUCAGUCUUCGUAUGAGAGAAUAUAUGCGACAUUAUGCUCAUUAUCAACAUUUAGGGGUCAAUCAAAUACUUCAACAAGCAACAAUUCAAACCCCGAUCUAUGCAACGAUGUGUUUUAGCACAGAGGAUAACGAGGACAGAUUAGGGCUGUCUGAGAACGCUGGUGCGAUUCGCCUCGAAAUAACGUUUUCGAACUUGAUGUAUCGAGCAGAGGAAAUAACCCUGCGCUUCCGUCUGCAAACCAGUACGCGGACAACACCACGAUGUUAGAUGGCAUUACGACAAUUGUCAUUGGCGACAAGUUCGUUAGAUCUCCAAAAAUGCUAAAUUUCUGAGGUGUAUCGAUCACACCGAUAUCAUCUAUCGCGCGUUGAUUUUGGAUACGUGUGUAACAUAGCGACUUGGAACAUUGCUUACCACGCACAAUAUUUUCCAUCAGGUACUAUGUUUAAGGAUUGAUCACUGGCUCCUGUUUCUGAAGUCGAAUUGUGGAUGAUUACAUCGCGACUUUGUAGCACUAUGCUUCUGUUGCUACAGCGAUUUCAGGAUACCAGACAUGACAAUUGCACAGAUAUCGGAAGACAUCAGCGUCAUUAGGACACAGUACUUAUAGCAUAGGCACCGCAAUGGUCCCGAACUGAUUAGACGAUAUCUCUGAUAAGGAUCACCGUCAACAGAAUGCCAUGCUUGGAUUAAAAUGUCUAUGCUGUUGACAUAAUGCAGUCCUCGCGUUUAUAACAAACUGAUAUCACUGGUGCGAUGGCAGACAUAGUAUAUAUAUGGGUAGGGCAUUUGGCGGUCUACUUCAUCAUAUGGUAGCUAUAUUGUUAUUAGUUAUGUACAUGGUCCCAUUAGGUGAGUUGUAUCCUAGCAUAUAGGUGUCAGUGUCACAGCUUCAUGUCUUGAAUCCUUUUUUGCUUCGGCCUGUUAUAGUGCAAUCAUUCCAUGUAUCAGCGAAUUUAUACCGACUCGGAGUAUAUCUCUCAAUUGUAUCUCGCAGUGUAUCAAUCGUAGCUUGAACCUUUUAAUUCUCAUUUGACAAUGUACGCGUUAUGUACACACAUUUAAUAAUGUUGCCGAAGUCGCCUGUCAUUUCAGAACUUCGACAAAGAUUACACAGAAAAGCCCUCGGCGAUCAACUGUUUCGUUCUAUCUUUACUCCGUCCUCACUUUACUUAUUUGUCUUGGCCGUUUACACCACCGGCGACCAUAUUUGUUGCGGAACUAUUUCAUCCAUUACAGCGAACUAGUCAAUCAUGUGAGGACAUCAGGCUCGGUGCCAGUUCUUAUGGCUCCUUACCGUCGACGUUGGUUGUAAUCGCCGAGGCUUGGAAUCUUGCGAACGUCUGUCACGACGUUGUAUCAAAUUAUCGCGGGCUCUUUUCCGCGAACGGUAGACUCCAGACUCGAGGAGUACGGGCCUGUUGCAGAGAUAAAACCGUGACGGGUUACAGGCUAUCAUAUGGAAUGAUCUGAAAUGAAAGAAAUCGAUUAACAUCGAUUCGGGAGAACAGACGUAGGGGUCUACAUACGUCGCAUACGUGAAUCUUCGGAAGCUAUGACGAGAGCAUGAAAUCCGAGUAUCCCGUUCAAGUUAUUAACAAGAAUGUGCAAGCGAAGAAGGUCGUGCAGUACGUAAGCGUAGAGUCCAGCGAACGUAAUGUGUCACGAUUGGAAACUAGCCCCGAAAUUCCGACGGAAUUUGGAAAUCACGCUUGACAGCUUUGUCUCUUGUCCGAAGACUGUUUCCGAUACUUUUCGAAAUUGUUGUUACUCGUACUCGAUAACGUAGGAACGAUGAGGCGAGAACCUGAUACACUAGACGCGAAAUGACUAAUCGAACAGGAAGUAGAUAGGAUAAGACACGUUCCAAUGGAAGACAACUUCAAUGAAAGGCAGGCUAGAUGAAAUAAAAUGUGAAGUCUUUCUUGCAUAGAACGCGGAAUUAAACGGACAAGGAACCGCUGAUCGUAUUGCGGUAAUUGUGGCGACGUUAUCAUUUUCCCCUUGACCGCCGCAAUUUUCGAGAAAGGCAGAAUGGAUUUUUCGUUGAAAACUGCUCGAAAUAUGCAGUUCGCGUUCUGGCAGGAAAAGAUGCAGGACAAAGUGGUCGUUUGGUGAGGGUGAACAACUUGGUAAAAGCACUGGUUUGUUCGAAAAAGAGUGUGUCUCGAGAUGAUAUUAAUGGACGUCGAAGUCGAACUGACGCGUGAAAUGUAAAACGAGGAAGCAGCAUAGUCGACCGCUGCAUUACACGGCCAGAAUUCCACUUGAACUGUCGUUCAGCGAAUAAUGAGUACUAAACGGCGUUUUAAUAAGUCUUGCCUUCCCUGAUACGCCCAACGUCACUGCGCCGUAGCUUGUGCAUAUCUCUCGUUGGGCCAUAGCUUGCGCGGAUAUCUUUCGUUUCAUCAUGACCAGAAAAAUGACCUGGAACGUUCUAACUAUUUGAUUCAUUGGCACUUUUGGCACCUAAAUAAAAUAAGCUUGACCGUACCGUGGCAAAAUUCUUCGGAAAGUGAGAGGUUGGCCGGUGAAGCUGGUGUUAAUUACAGAAAUGUUCUGACCAUUCGACAAAUGAGAUUUUAAGUGACUGUUCAGCACAAUCGUUACGAACGUUCAGAUAUCCUGGCGGAAUAUCUCGAAAGCCUUAUCAUUGCAUGACUUCGAUGAUAAUCGCGGAUCGACGUGAUAUGGAUAAGUUGGCGGCAUGUUCUCGUCGAAAUAUGAGUGUUGGGUAGAUUAAUCGGGAUCGUAUGUUUUGCAUUGUCGCUCAAAAUGUGGUCAAUAGGGGGCAUUAAUGUAUCAACGAUUCUCUGAUUCGGUUCGUUUUAUCGAGUCUAGUACAGCGUAGGUCAUAGUCCACCGUUCAGUGAAAAGUAGCGAAUACAGACGCGAAAACGUUCGCGUACCUGAACAUUUUUCCUGCUGCUCGAAAAUAAUUAAUUCGCCGCCAGAUAGUACGUGGAAAUGAGCGGUUACGCAUAAGGGGGAGGCGCGACAGACAAACUCCGUGUCUCAUUUCAUUAUUACCGAACAAUCGGUAAUUCUAUAAACGAGCCGCGGAGCGUGGACAAAUGUGCUUCCCCUUCUCAACACGUUCAUUUCUAUGCGCGAUCUGACGUCGCGAGGGAUUGGACAGGCUGUUACACUUGGAUCUUCUACGCCCGAAUGAAUUCCGGCGUACCUUUUAUAAAGGACAGUGGAAGAAGAAUUGAGUAUUAUAGAUCAUAAUAAAAGAAAUAAAAUAGAGAUAAAGCGAGUGUCUCGGUACUGGAUGACCGCCGAUGAACAUGUUUCGUUCGACGUCUGAUUUUUACCGAUCAGCAGAAUUCAGACACUAUCAUUGGUUCGAUCUUCGGGCAAACGAUGCAACGAUAUAUCCGGCUUUGACAACGCGAAACGUCACGAAAGCGCUCCGAGUGUUACUUCGUUCCGACAUCUAUUAGCUGCCCACAAUGAUGACUAAAAUAUAAUACGAUCGAAAACCUAGACAAUCGGGCGUUUCGCGCGAUCUAUUCGAGGGAUUUUGGACCACCUAUGAGCGUCCUUAGAGCAGAAGCACACCAAACCGGAAAUUUCCACGAUUUUCGAACGCUGAGAACGCGGUUCCAGUGCUCGCUCAAUCACGAAGAAGAUUUGGUACCGAACAUCGAGAAAUACUUGCUUGUUUAAUUAAUCACUUCUUGCCGCGAUCUGACACGUGAAAGAAAUGCUCCCCUCAUCGGUCGCAGACCUUAGAACGGUUUUGAAAUUCGUUCUUUGCCGCGACCUGGUAUUCGAAAUAUCCAAUCUACCUUGGAACGCGUGAGAGAUUCGGUAGAUGCUCGAUUGCUUAAUUAUUCAACUUUUUUUAGUCAUAUCGCGUGUAAAAUACAUGUUCUGUCGGUUACGAACAGUUUUCUCUUGUUCCUUGCCAGGUCGAUCGUUAUCCCGUCGCCGUUCUUAAACAUACCGGUUUCCUCAAUGACGAUUUCAAACGACGAAAGUUACGCUCUUCGCUCCGUUUGUUCAUGUAAAUAACGGCGCUCUAUUCUCCGGUCACCAAUAUCUGAACAUUCAAGCAGAUGUUAACACGAUACAAGCGUAAAAAGGUUGUUUCUUUUGGAGAUAGAGAGCCAUUAGACCAGAAUCGUCGUAUGAAAAUUGGAAUGCGUAAAAAAUAUGACACGGCGAUGGGUUUUAUACGCCGUCUCGUUGUACUACCAGUAAUCAGGACCGCCGAAAACCGUCACUGUUACCGAUACUCUUAUUUUUAUCCAACUACUGACUGAUCGAAUGGUAUGUUUUCUAUUGAAACAACGUAGCUAUAGCGUUCACGUUCUCCUAUCAUGGUGCAGGUAUCUAAGAACAUGGUAUACAGACGCGGAAACGAUUCGAUAAUGAAGACAAUCCAUUAGCGAAAAUGCUCCUGUCGCGAUCGACAAACCAAAGAGGUGAUCUUCUAAAACCGAACGAUAACAAUUACGCGUUUUUACCCGUAACAUGAUGGGCAAUCUUUAUCAAUGGCUCAUUCCGCAUUCGCGAGUUGAACUUAUGACCCUGUGAUGAGAAGCGAAAUGUUUGUACAAUAGUUAUUGACCGUGCCAAAUUUUAUGAAAAAUCGCACGAGAGUCAGUUGAGAGUACUUUACGAUGAACAAUGGCGAAGAAAAACGUGAUGAAAAUGUGAUUAAAUUAACGAUAUUACUUGCAUGUAAAAUUAUGAUUUUAGCCUGUUUACCACUAAGCGAUUCCGAUUUAUCUAAUAUAAAACUGCGCCAACAUGAAAAUGAUAAGCUCGUUGCAGAGAGUCAAUGUUGCCUAAAGGCGAUCUAAGCCGCAUUCUAGAUGGAUGACGUGUAUUAUUAUGUCGACUAAGCAUUACCAACCAACGUAAUUUACUUUCUAGACCUGCUCGAUUUUAACGAGUUAAACGCAAGGUCACAUUUCUCGGACAGUUCCCCACAAAAUCGAAGUGAUCCUAUAAUGGAGAUGGAAACGACAAAUUAUUAUUUACCAUCGUUGAUUGUACUUCAUGCUUCCACCGUUACAAAUGUUCUAAUAAUGUUUCGUUUCAUUCCAUCUGCAUCGAUAACAAUUACUUUUAAACGUUGACGAAACAAAUUAGUGUUCCAUCAAAUAUGGAGGGCGCGGCACUAAACAUGUUAUUGACUGAUCAAAUGGACAUGUAAUCAAAGAUUAUGCACAGCUGACGCCUGUAUCGCAGUAGAGUCCCGUUUCUUUAACAUUUACCACCUGGUUCGCCUGUAAAGUAAAUCUGCUGGAACAAUCCAAUCCACAAGCCAAAAAACUAACCUUAUCAUUCAUAUGCUAUCGAUGACCGUGCUCUUAAGUCAAAUUCCAUGAUAACAAAACGGCGACUAGAUUGAUUUGUUCGUUGCAACUGAUGUUCAUUGUGCCGAGAAUGUCGCCGCAACUCCGACAGACAGACUCCGCAUUAAACGGGAUUCUACUGCGUUUUAAAAAUCCUUUCGACUACUUUACUGGUACUCUUUUUCGAAAUUUUUCUCUUAAUCUGUGCGAGGCUUUCAUUGAAAACAUUGCCAUUAUCGCAAUUCCCCCUUUUGUGAAAGUCCAGGGGAAAAUUUCAGAGAAUUAAAAACCUUACGUUAGGAGACCUAAUUUCUGCGGUCCACUUUUAUCUUAUUACUAGAGGAAUAGAUAUGGUAAACGAGCUCAAGAAGCAUUACCUAUUAGCUUCUUGUUGCUAAUUCGAGAGACCAUCAAUAUUGUUAUCACGAUUAUUGUUACUACCGUUAUAACUUUUAUUGUAAUCAUCAGAAAUACUGUUUCAUUUGUCAUUGAUAUAAUUCAUAUUUAUUAGUAUUAGUAUCAGUUACACCGUUAGUAUUAAGAGUAUGUAUGUAUCAAUACGUAUGUAUGUAUAAACGAUUCGAUUUCGUUUCGGAAACAACCAAAGCAAGAUAGACGCGAUAAUGAAACUGGCAUAAGAAGAUAUAUAUAGCCCUAUUGCAGGGCUAUAGCGUGAGCUAAAAGACCAGGAAUACGUGAACAGCUUUCGGCGCGAACUUGUCGAGAGUGGUAUCGAAAAUAAUGUCAAUCUAAUUAUGCAAGCACGAAGGCCUGAAGAUACAUAAAUUCGAGGCGGGCACCAGCAACGAUUACGAAAGAGAAGCGAAAACGAACGAGCUCAUAUCACCGGUGAAAUAUCGACGAUGUAAAGAUAGCGGUCUGUUCAAUUGCAACGAAACUGAAGCGAAAAGCAGGCUAAUGCAAAACUAACAAAGACAGAAAAGUUGAGAUGCACUGCGACGUCGGUUUCAACUAAAUAACUCUGCCGAAAGAUCCCUGAGGAUAGGCCAACCAGGAGGAAAAUCAUACUGGCAAGCGCACGCAACAGGAAGAUUUCUAUGAUAACGUGGUCACAAAGCCCGCUUUCCGACUCACGCACUGGACGCGGAACGCACCGCUAGUUGAAACGGAAGAACAUUUACAAAGGGUUAAGUAAUACAAUGUCGCAAUGAACAAGGCAAAGAAGAAGCGACGUCACUCGAUCACGAAAAAUAAAAAUCUUGUCUGCACGAAAAAUGAAAACAUCGAUCGGAAGUUGCUAGGACUGUUCGGUAAAGAACGUUUCUUUCGUCCCCGUACUUAUGAUACAGAUCGCGUAAAUUGACAGCAAACAUUGACUAGUAAGACGUGUUGGCUUCUGUCAAGUCUAGAAUGUUCUCGUGGGAACUGAGCGAAUAUAUCAUCUUUGAUGUUGCGCACGACUCGUAUUUGCAGCGAUUAGGUAGCCGGCACAGACUCUUGGAAGCCCAGAAUAAAGGACAUGCUAAUACGACUGAUGCAAGAACUCCGACGUUAAAAGUUCUACUUGAAUUUUGAAAACGCAUCACCAAAUCGCACAAAUUACGAACGUCGAGACCUUCGAAAAAUCUAUUCACCAUCGAAAAAAUGCUAGCGCAAAAUGCUACUUUCUUUUAAUGUUUGUUCCAAUUGUAACCUCUUCGCUUUCGCGAUACGUAACGCUUUGAAAUUUCAUUCUGCAACGUAUAAUUUUGGAAGCAAUGAUAUCUCAUCAAACAACGACAACUCUAGAAAAAGUUAUCGGCGUAUUCGAUACGUAAAAAUUUCGUCCGCCGAUUUUCGUACCCCACGCCACAAUGUCGUCUGUCUGUUGGGAGCUACAACGAUAUAUCUUACCUUGCACAGAAGUUAACUUAAAGGAAAGAUCGGAUGAUUUUAUCACCGUCACAUUUGGAUUUAUUUCCCAAACUGAACGGAAUCAUGACCGUAGUUGCGAAUUCAACGAGCCCAGAGUUUUGGAACAACGAUCAUCUUUAAUGAGUUCGCACUAUGAAUUUGUAAACCUAGACGGUUCUUUCGGCUGCAAUUUUUAUCGCGGAAAUUUGCCCGAACUAGAUGUCCUAAAUCAUUCGACUAACCGAACAACGCAACGAUAAAUAAACACUUUUCGUGACAGACAAUCGACGCGCAGCUUUAUUCAAACAGCUGCAGCGUUGUCUAAGUUGGAGAAAUAAGAGAAUUCAUACUACGAUUGCGGGUGCUGCGGAAAAGAAUUUUUCGUGAUACUGUUUUUUCGACGGAAAGGAAGAUGAUGGUGCGAAACGCAUAGAUACACGCAUAGAUGAAAAUUACGCGACCACAAACAGAAAAGACAAAAUUCUGUUAGAAAAUUACGCGAACCAUUCACAGGAUAGGAUGUCGGGAAACGAUUUCGAUCCGAUGUAAAGUCGCGAUCGAUAUAACUUCUCCGUGGCUCCAUGUUCUUCAGAUAUUUUGUGUACCAUAGACCUAAUUCUUCGCUACAUCGUCGGAUAGGUCGCAUAAUCCAUCGUAAUCAAAAUCAACAAAUGCAGCAUGCAUAUCAAUAGUGCUUCUCUUCUAUGUGCUUGCCCGCUAUCAUAAUUUCAAAUGAAAGUUAAGGGCUAUCUCAAUCAUCCUGAACAUUUAUUAGUAACUACUUAGUAACAAAAUCACAAAACAAGCACAAGAUCACCGGUUCUUAUAUCUUCUUUUGCAAUUGCUGAUCCAACGAAAAUACCUCUACGAGAUAUUGUUUCAUAAAAUGUAUCGGGUCAAGCAUACGUUGUAAAAGUAAUCGUGCGUGUCUCGACACGGCACGAGGAUGGUUCUCGGAUAAUCUUUUUGAUAAAUCGUUUCGUUGGAGCACGCAUCGUAGUCAGAGAAAACUGAUAAAUAAACCGAUUAUCGUUAUUGUUUUCAUAUGUCGUGCAAUAGCGGCGCUAGGUAAUAUUUACGUUAAGACUGAUUCGGUUGAACGAGCUUGCCAUUGGUGCGUUUGCCGUGAUAUGAUUGAUUGACGCGUGCAAAGACCUGGUUUCAGAAAAUUUCGAGUACAACCAAUGCUCGGUGUAACUGGUACCGCGUAGAGCCGCGGUCUAAGCGUCACACUGCAAGCGACAGCGUAUAGGCGAACCAUAAAUAAGAAAAGGAAACCUGGAUGGUACCGAUCACCGAUCACGAAGGAUCGAGUUAUCGGAUUAAAAUGAACAUCAAACAUAUAUCGCGUUAUGUCCGAUACGAUUUGUUUUCACUCCGGCCGACAGUUUUCGAAGGACUUUUCCUUUUCUCUGAAGUAAUUCAUCCUCUGCAAAAAGAUACAAAGAUACGAAAGAAACACUCGUGUUAGAGAAGCCCAACACUGGGACGUUACUAUGUUCCUACAUAUAUUUGAUGCUGAUCUUACACGGACGUUUCGAAACUUCAAACAUGCACGGUACUGCGGAAUCAAACUAAUCGAUCGACAAAAUAGUAGAGAAGGGUUCAUAACCGUUUAUCGUGCUACGAGCGUCACAUUGUUGCAUACCUGGCGCAACAGGAAACUGCAUGACCACCAUUCACUGUCUAACGUAUAACAGCAGGUUGAUCUUCAAAUGUGAUCGUUUGUGGUCUCGCUUUGGUAACAAUGAGUUGCCAUGUUGACAACGCGAAACGUGACGAAAGCGACCGACGUCGUACUGUUUUCUGUCCGUCAAUUCGUCGCGCCGUGACGCACACAGUAUCAUUCGUUCGCGACAUGCACGAUACGAUCGAGUAACUCAAAAAUCGGACAUUCCGGGCGAACUAUAUAACCCGGGUUCAGACGAUCUGAGACUGUCUCUCCCCGCGCGCGUGGAAUGCAUUAUACGAUACAUCGAAAGAAAAUGAGAAAUCCGUUACAGUACACGAUUCCGUUAUAUUCUCGAUUAUUUUUAAAACCAAACACGAGCGUCUCUCUCUCGAUAUCCUGUGCCAUUGUAAUGUCUAUAAAAUAUUCGUCGAACCAAUCAUGCAAGCGCGAAGCUGAAAUCUUACACGAUGAUUCAGGCUCAGAGAAAAAUAUUUUUCCAAAAGACGCAGCGAUUUUCUGAUUCAUCUGUUAAUCAAACGGUAGUCCAUCACAGUUUUUUUAACAAGCCGUGCUCGCGGCAAAAAUUUUUGUUAACAAUAAUGCUACCACGUAUGAGCACGGAUCUCUCCUGUUUGAAGUCAGUAGAACAUUUGCUAUUUCUAGCCGGCACAAUAUUGAAACGUUUAACGGGUAGACAAUGACGAACGAGUUUGUUGCUUUUCUACCAAAAAAUUAACGGGUUCGAAAAAAGUCACUGUAGUCGCGAAAAAAAUGAUACGAUGGCGAGCUAAACGCCGUCUUAUAAUUUCCGCGAUAACAGACAUAGACAUCGUCGUUCUCGCAAAUGUUGCUCGUUAACCCUAGAUUUCCUCCUCCGAGUCUUUUGUGACCCCACGUGUGUUUAAAUGGCUAUCUUGUCUGUCAAUUAUCGACUACUAAAUAUAAUAAACGGCUGUAUUUACAAUGAUUUUCCGUGCGUCAAACUUUCGACAGUUGUUCUGCAUAUACUUUCGAUUACGCGAAACUCGCUAGACAACUCGCUCUUCCACGCGAUUAGUUCUUUAACUGUACGUGGAAUCACGAGGCUCGGAUGAUACUAGGACUACUGCCGGAUAACUGCUACUGCAAAACGAAACUUACGUGCUGCACCAACAGCGUUUUCGACAGCGGCCCUACGUACGAUGUUGGUCGCAGGACUCUGCGUACAAUUAAACUUGGCAUGGGAAUAGAAAACAGCUAUGUCUCUAAUUGAGUCUAUGUGAAAUUGUUUCGAAAAUAUAUCUAGAGAAACUGUCGAUUACUGCUGGGAUUUCUACAAACACCGGCAAUCUUAUAGCUGCGAAAAUGAUAGUUUGAGUAUCUCUGACGUUAAAAAUCGACCCGAACACUGUCGUUGGCUGAUUUUAAUAAUUUCGAGACGUUUGACUUUCGUUCAUAAACACCACGGGGGUCCCAUUACCAAUCUUUGUUUUCAGACUCUAGACGGCGCUAAUUACCCGCCACGUGUAAGAAAUUUGCAACGUUUAUAUGCUAUAUAUAUAUAUCUGCUUAUUUCUCCCAUAUUCAUACAGCACACUUCGUUUCUUUCACUUUGCACUCAUAUACACUGUACCGAGAAAUACGAUACAUACGUACUCGAGAAGAUCUGCGGGUAGGUUCUUGCGCAUGGACAGACGUGUUACGUGUGGUAUAACAGAAUACAUAUGUUUGUAGUUAUGAUGGAAAAUUGUGAUGGUGCGCUUGGGUAUGGUCGCAAAAUGUUACGAACGGGCAUUUCUGAUAGAAACAAUGCCCUAAAUUGUCUCUGAUCGGUGCAUAGUUUUUCAAACAAUAAUGACCGGAAUGAAACGAGCGUUCGAAUUUCCAGCUCGUUUCAUAGUUAAUCAAUAACUAUGAAACAAAGCCGGAAGGCUGGAAUGAUUGGACUUUCCCUUCCCAAGCUAUCUAUCUUCACACGAAACAGUCGAAAUAUGACGUGCGAUCCGAAAGAACCUACCAGAGUCAAUGGCAUUGUCGCGAUACGUUACCACUGGCGAACAGGUUUUCAUGUGAAAUUAAAAUGAUCCGUGUUCGUCACUACUUUGCUUAUCCUACUCAAGGGUACUACAAUAUAGGAAUAAUAUAACGUCACAUGUACUCAAACAGUCUGCCUCGACGGCAUCUUGAUUUUCGUCUCUGUCGCGAUCACGAUGUUGAAUUCUUACUUCAAUUUACCAACUUCAUCAGAGAGAACCUAUAUAACGCGCUACCUUCGUAUUCCCGGGAUCUCGGUGUAAUUCUGACGAAAUGUAACUUGAAAAUGUAACGUGACUUAUUCACUGUUUCUCGAACAAUGACAAGCUUGGAUUCAUUAAAACUUCCUAUAGUUUUUGUUGUAACAUUCGCUUGAGCAGGAAAACAUUUGUAGAACUUUCUGACGACAGUAUUGUUAUAGAGCCAGAAAUUGUUCAAGAAAUAAUCGAAGACCGAUCAUGUCGAUUGAUUCGGGAGUUCCAGUGCGAAAUGAGAGUGAGAAGAAUGAACUGUGUGUGUAAUGCAUCCUCCGAGCCAGAAAGUGGAUUGGUACCAUUUCCUUACGUACGAUGUGAGUAAGGAAAAGGAAUACAAUUAAUGCUUUGUUGCCUUACAUUUAAUAACCAGAACCGUCGUACUCUAGCCAUACUGGUGCUAAAACUGCAUUUAUAUAAUCCUAUGGAUAUAUAAAUAUCCAUAAGAUUAUAUAUUUAUAUAUAACAUUGGUAUAUAUUAUUCAUAAUAUUCUUCCUGUUCUUCAAAUCCUGCGAUUUAGGUUGCAGUAUAUAUUUCAAUAAAGAAGCGUGCGUGUGAGACACUUUCAUUGAGAUGUAUUCAGGAUAUCGGGAACCGUGAUAAUGAAAGAUUUCAUUCAAUCGUUCUGGCCGGCUCGAUUGCUCUCCUGGUGUAUUUUAAAGGCUCGCUGUCCCAGCCGGUUACGAAUUGGGUAAAACGAAAAUUAUUGGUUUGGUGUCAAGCGGUCUAUCCUACAAAACACGACUAUACUUCCAUGACAAUGUUACGAUGCGAUUUUGAUGGGAGUAUUGAUUUGUGGACUGUUGCGAACGUCCACAAAGUCGUAACAUGGGACGGUGGGCCUGUAAUGCUUUUAUGUGCAUGCACGACAUUAUCACGGGAUUGAGAGUGAUCGAACCGCUAAGAGGCAUAGGAGACAUGCGGUGACGAAAGAACGAUAAAAAAUUAUUCGGGUUAACUCCUCCACGAGUGGAGCGACAGAGUGCAGUGGUCUAUGUAAAGAUAGAAAAUAUUUAGUUUCCUCAAGACAUCCUGUUAUUCUAUGAAAU